AGGAAGUCUCUGCUCUUUCUCCUCUCCACUCUUUCUUCUCUGUGUGUUUUGGUUAGUCAACUGCUAGCUACCAGUGACAGUGAUAGAUAAGGACAUACAGCCAGAGGAAACAGUCAUACAACGCCUUAACAAGAUGUCUAGUGGUCCCUUCUCCUGCUUCUCCAAACAGGAAAUAUUCCUUCUCCAACCUCCACUAUGGUUCUUGUUGCAACAGAAUAUUCUGGCCCCACCAGCCCCAGAUGACCAACCUGGACCCCCAACAGGACCAACGAUCUACCCAGGGCCGAGCUCCUGAUGCUGGGUAUACAUGUCUGCAGCAUGGUCAGUCUCUCAGCCCAGACCACUGUCACUCUACUCUCUCUGUAACUGCACACACUUGUCACAGUGACUUUUCAAUAUGCACUUUGUAUACAACAUGGUACCGUACUCUAUGACCCUGGGCAAGCUGAGGGAAAACCAACCAAGUAAUCUUUCUCUCUCUUCUUUGACCAACAGGUGGCACCAACCUCUAUGAUACAAUCACUUCCUCAGACAAUAAUGACAGUGGUAGUGUACACGUUAUGUUAAGUUUAGCAUGAAUACAGUAUAGAGUUGUUGUUGCAAUUGUUCUUCAUUUGUUUAAUACAGUGCAUUCGUAAAGUAUUCAGACCCGUUGUCUUUUUCCACAUUUUGUUAGGUUACAGCCUUUUUCUAAAAUUGAUGAACAUUUUUUUUCCCUCAUCAAUCUACACACAAUAGCCCAUAAUGACAAAGAAAAACAGGUUUUUAGACAUUUUUGCUCAUUUAUUAAAAACAAAAAACAGAUAUCACAUUUACAUAAGUAUUCAGACUAUUUACUCAAGACUUUGUUGAAGCACCUUUGGCAGCAAUUACAGCCUCAAGUUUUAUUGGGUAUGAUGCUACAAACUUGGCACACCCGUAUUUGGGGAGUUUCUCCCAUUCUUCUCUGCAGAUCCUCUCAAGCUCUGUCAGGUUGGAUGUGGAGCGUUUCUCGAUCGAGUUCAAAUCCGGACUCUGGCUGUACGGACAAUUCCUUCGACCUCAUGGCUUGGUUUUUGCUCUGACAUGCCCUGUCAACUGUGAGACCUUAUAUAGACAGGCCUUUCCAAAUCAUAAAAAAUAAAUAAUCCAAUCAUGUUGUAGAAACAUCUUAAGGAUGAUCAAUGGAAACAGAAUGCACCUGAGUUCAAGUCUCAUAGCAAAGGGUCUCAAUACUUAUGCAAAUAAGGUAUUUCUGUUUUUUGUAUUUUUUUGUAUUCCUUUGCAAAAAUUAUACAAAUCUGUUUUUGCUUUGUCAUUAUGGGGUAUUGUGUGUAGAUUGCUGAGGAUUUGUAUUUAUUUAAUCCAUUUUAGAAUAAGGCUGUAACGUAACAAAAUGUUGGAAAAAGUCAAGGGGUCUGAAUACUUUCCGAAGGCACUGUAUAACUAGCAUACUAAGACUAAUUAGCGAUAUUAUGUUUCAGAUGCUGGUGCUGCUACUGCUGGAUCAAGUGAUGUGAUGUACGCCCAGAUUCAACUCAAAAAGUUGGGCAAGAAAAAGAAAAAAACCCCACAUCAGGCAGAUUCGGUCUAUUCUCAAGUGAAUCCAGUCACAGCCCCAAGUCCUUGAGGGAUGGAGGGAGGGAAGGAUAGAGAGAAGGAUGGAGGGACACACAAACAGAGCAGAAGCAGAAGGAUACCUGGGAAGGAUUAUUCACGCUCAACGUACGCAAGAAAACACACACACACACACACACACUCACACACACACACACACAC
rnacentral:lncRNA from 1 species